rnacentral:rRNA from 1 species
AACGAACGCUGGCGGCAGGCUUAACACAUGCAAGUCGAGCGCCCCGCAAGGGGAGCGGCAGACGGGUGAGUAACGCGUGGGAACGUACCUUUUGGUUCGGAACAACUCCGGGAAACUGGAGCUAAUACCGGAUAAGCCCUUCGGGGGAAAGAUUUAUCGCCGAAAGAUCGGCCCGCGUCUGAUUAGCUAGUUGGUGAGGUAACGGCUCACCAAGGCGACGAUCAGUAGCUGGUCUGAGAGGAUGAUCAGCCACACUGGGACUGAGACACGGCCCAG